CACGUAGGGGGCGAGCGUUGUCCGGAUUUAUUGGGCGUAAAGAGCUCGUAGGCGGCUCAGUAAGUCGGGUGUGAAAACUCCAGGCUCAACCUGGAGACGCCACCUGAUACUGCUGUGGCUAGAGUCCGGUAGGGGAGCAUGGAAUUCCUGGUGUAGCGGUGAAAUGCGCAGAUAUCAGGAGGAACACCGGUGGCGAAGGCGGGUCUCUGGGCAACAACUGACGCUGAGGAGCGAAAGCGUGGGGAGCGAACAGG
rnacentral:rRNA from 1 species